rnacentral:rRNA from 1 species
UACAGGGGGGGCAAGCGUUGUUCGGAAUUACUGGGCGUAAAGGGCCAGUAGGCGGCCAACUAAGUCACACGUGAAAUCCCCAGGCUUAACCUGGGAACUGCGUGUGAUACUGGAUGGCUUGAAUUCGGGAGAGGGAUGCAGAAUUCCAGGUGUAGCGGUGAAAUGCGUAGAUAUCUGGAGGAAUACCGGUGGCGAAGGCGGCAUCCUGGACCGACAUUGACGCUGAACGGCGAAAAGCUAGGGGAGCAAACGGG